UACGGAGGGUGCAAGCGUUAUCCGGAUUCACUGGGCUUAAAGGGCGCGUAGGUGGGCAAGUAAGUCAGUGGUGAAAUCUCCGGGCUUAACCCGGAAACUGCCAUUGAUACUAUUUGUCUUGAAUACUGUGGAGGUCAGCGGAAUAUGUCAUGUAGCGGUGAAAUGCUUAGAUAUGACAUAGAACACCGAUAGCGAAGGCAGCUUGCUACACAGUCAUUGACACUGAGGCACGAAAGCGUGGGGAGCAAACAGG
rnacentral:rRNA from 1 species